rnacentral:rRNA from 1 species
GAUGAACGCUGGCGGCGUGCCUAAUACAUGCAAGUCGAGCGAACGGACGAGAAGCUUGCUCCUCUGAUGUUAGCGGCGGACGGGUGAGUAACACGUGGAUAACCUACCUAUAAGACUGGGAUAACUUCGGGAAACCGGAGCUAAUACCGGAUGAUAUUUUGAACCGCAUGGUUCAAAAGUGAAAGACGGUCUUGCUGUCACUUAUAGAUGGAUCCGCGCUGCAUUAGCUAGUUGGUAAGGUAACGGCUUACCAAGGCAACGAUGCAUAGCCGACCUGAGAGGGUGAUCGGCCACACUGGAACUGAGACACGGUCCAGACUCCUACGGGAGGCAGCAGUAGGGACUCUUCCGCAAUGGGCGAAAGCCUGACGGAGCAACGCCGCGUGAGUGAUGAAGGUCUUCGGAUCGUAAAACUCUGUUAUUAGGGAAGAACAAAUGUGUAAGUAACUGUGCACAUCUUGACGGUACCUAAUCAGAAAGCCACGGCUAACUACGCG